GACAGAGGGUGCAAGCGUUGUUCGGAAUGAUUGGGCGUAAAGGAUGAGUAGGCGGCUUAGAAAGUCAUAGGUUAAAUGUUCAGGCUCAACCUGAAACGGCUGUUGAUACUACUAAGCUAGAGUGGGAUACAGGAAAGUGGAAUUCCUAGUCGAGCGGUGAAAUUCGUAGACAUUAGGAGGAACGCCAAAGGCGAAAGCAGCUUUCUGGUACCUUUCUGACGCUGAAUCAUGAAAGCGUGGGGAGCAAACAGG
rnacentral:rRNA from 1 species